rnacentral:rRNA from 1 species
AUUGAACGCUGGCGGCAGGCCUAACACAUGCAAGUCGAACGGCAGCGGGGGAUAGCUUGCUAUCCUGCCGGCGAGUGGCGGACGGGUGAGUAAUGCAUGGGGAGCUGCCCAAUCGAGGGGGAUAACAACUGGAAACGGUUGCUAAUACCGCAUACGCCCUGCGGGGGAAAGGUGGGGACCUUCGGGCCUACCGCGAUUGGAUGCACCCAUGUGGGAUUAGCUGGUUGGUGAGGUAACGGCUCACCAAGGCGACGAUCUCUAGCUGGUCUGAGAGGAUGACCAGCCACACUGGAACUGAGACACGGACCAGACUCCUACGGGAGGCAGCAGUGGGGAAUAUUGCACGAUGGGGGAAACCCUGAUGCAGCCAUGCCGCGUGUGUGAAGAAGGCCUUCGGGUUGUAAAGCACUUUCAGUGGGGAGGAAGGGGAGUAAGCUAAUAACUUGCUUCAUUGACGUUACCCACAGAAGAAGCACCGGCUAACUCCGUGCCAGCCGCCGCAGUAACAC